AGGGCACUACCAGGAGCGGAUCCUGCGGCUCAAUUUGACUCAACACGGGAAAGCUCACCUGGUCCGGACACUGGAAGGAUUGACGGAUUAAGAGCUCUUUCUUGAUUCAGUGGGUGGUGGUGCAUGGCCGUUCUUAGUUGGUGGAGCGAUUUGUCUGGUUAAUUCCGAUAACGAACGAGACUCUAGCCUACUAAAUAGGUGUUCCGAUCCCAUCAGUCGGACGCUCUUCUUAGAGGGACAAGCGGCGUUUAGCCGCACGAGACAGAGCAAUAACAGGUCUGUGAUGCCCUUAGAUGUCCGGGGCCGCACGCGCGCUACACUGAAGGAACCAGCGUGUGUCCCUGUCCGGCAGGACUGGGUAAUCCGUUGAACCUCCUUCGUGAUAGGGAUAGGGGCUUGUAAUUGUUCCCCUUGAACGAGGAAUUCCCAGUAAGCGUGAAUCAUCAGUUCACGUUGAUUACAUCCCUGGCCUUUGUACAAACCGCCCGUCGCUCUACUGAAUGGAUGAUUUAAAGAGUA
rnacentral:rRNA from 1 species